rnacentral:lncRNA from 1 species
ACUUGAUAAUUUUUCUACUUUGAACCUUGAGGACAAGGUUCUCCAAGGAGGGCUGGAUAAUGUUACGCUCCAAAGAUCUACGAGAUAACCCAAGAAGAAUAUCAAAUAUUCAGACAAAUGAAGAAACUGCAUCAUUUAUAAAUAACACUAGCGAUUACACUACCAUUUAUCAACCACCAACCAAUGCAGUAGUUAUUUUAAUUUGUAUAAUAGUUAUACUAAAGUAUAU